CCAUAUGAUCUGCUAUGUUAACUAAAGCCAGUGCUGCUGUGCCGCCGUGUUUACAUUAAAAGGCCUGCAGGGACAGGCUAUGGACACCAGAACCACUACAUUAAGCUGAAGUGGUUCUGGGGACUAGAGAUUAGUGCCACGAAUAAUAUACUAGAUUGCCUACUUACAACCAGAUGAGGAUGAUGAUGGGCUCUAGCUGCAGUCUGGCUCCACUGGUCUGGUGUAGAACAGGCUUUC